GCUAUAUAGUUUAAUUAAAACAUUAAUUUUGUAAAUUAAUAAUAUAACAAAUUUAUUAUAGCU
rnacentral:tRNA from 1 species